UGUCCAAUAGCACCUUAGAAACCAACUAAGUUUGUUGUUGGUACAAACUUAGUUGGUCUCUAAGGUGCUACUGGACA